rnacentral:rRNA from 1 species
UACGUAGGGUGCGAGCGUUAAUCGGAAUUACUGGGCGUAAAGCGUGCGCAGGCGGUGACACAAGUCAGAUGUGAAAGCCCCGGGCUCAACCUGGGAACUGCGUUUGAAACUAUGUCACUAGAGUGUAGCAGAGGGGGGUGGAAUUCCACGUGUAGCAGUGAAAUGCGUAGAGAUGUGGAGGAACACCGAUGGCGAAGGCAGCCCCCUGGGCUAACACUGACGCUCAGGCACGAAAGCGUGGGGAGCAAACAGG